UUAUGGAAUAAAUUAUAGUCGAAAAAUACGAACAACAGUUUAAAACUUAAAGAUUUUGGCGGUGUCUUAUCGAACCAGGGGAACCUGUCUCAUAACUCGAUAAUCCACGAUCACCCUACCUUCUCUAGACUAACUCAGCUUGUGUACUGCCGUCGUAAGCACACCUCUAAAAAUAAUUAAGUAUGCAACUAUGAUAAUACUCAUUUACGUCAGGUCAAAGUGCAGCUCAUGAGAAGGUGAUGAUGGGUUACAUCCUAAAUAAAGAUACGAAGUAUAUCACUAAAAGUUGUACAAAGGUGGACUUGGACGUAAUAAUAAUACCCUGUCAUAAUGAAGACGAAUCUAAGACAUGCACACAUCGCCCGUCACUCUCGCCCAAAGGCG
rnacentral:rRNA from 1 species